rnacentral:tRNA from 1 species
GUCCCCGUAGUUUAAUGGAUAAAACAAGAACCUCCUAAGUUUUAGAUGCAAGUUCGAUUCUUGCCGGGGACG